UNCGAUUUGAGUCAGGUGUCACCUCCAGCC
rnacentral:piRNA from 1 species